rnacentral:rRNA from 1 species
UACGAAGGGGGCUAGCGUUGCUCGGAAUCACUGGGCGUAAAGCGCACGUAGGCGGAUCUUUAAGUCAGGGGUGAAAUCCUGGAGCUCAACUCCAGAACUGCCUUUGAUACUGGGGAUCUCGAGUCCGGGAGAGGUGAGUGGAACUGCGAGUGUAGAGGUGAAAUUCGUAGAUAUUCGCAAGAACACCAGUGGCGAAGGCGGCUCACUGGCCCGGUACUGACGCUGAGGUGCGAAAGCGUGGGAGCAACAG